rnacentral:rRNA from 1 species
UACGUAGGGACCAAGCGUUGUCCGGAAUCAUUGAGCGUAAAGAGCGUGUAGGCGGCUUGUUAAGUCUUGCGUGAAAUCUCGGGGCUCAACCCCGAGCGGUCGUGAGAAACUGGCAGGCUAGAGUGCGGGAGAGGAGAGUGGAAUUCCUGGUGUAGCGGUGAAAUGCGCAGAUAUCAGGAAGAACACCCGUGGCGAAGGCGGCUCUCUGGAACGCAACUGACGCUGAGACGCGAAAGCGUGGGGAGCAAACAGG